UACUACCAGCUGUUAAUGUUUGAGGCUGAAAGCCAUUGCUCAGACAUUACUCACCCUUCAGAAGUGUGAAAGCCAUAGACAUUGCUCAGCCUUCCUCUCUCAAGUGUAACUUGGCCCUCAAGUGGAAAGGACAACCUCUAAAAUCUCAGUCUCUGGGCCAACACAUGCCUAGACCAGAAAAAUAGCCUCACAGUACUUACUUCAGUGGAUCAGGAAACAUUUUCAGGACCAGGGCCUUGACUUCUUAUAGACUUUCAUCUAUCAUUUCCAAGCAGGCAGCUGACAAAGUGCUAAGGGUGGAUCUUACAGCAUGAAACACUUGGGAAGAGGCUGAAGCUCAGUUUCCUUCAGAUCAUCCAGUAGCUGCCAGAUUCCGUGGGGCUUUCUGUCACCAGUGACCUCAACGGUAUUUGAAGCUGUAAUUUCACACCAGCAAAGUCCUGUCACAGCAAGGUCCUGGGCUGUUUUGGGAUGAUGUGGUGUUGUUCAGUGGUCAGCAAUGAGGGAACUGUGUGAAGCCUCUUAUUUCAUCAGUGCCACAUCAGUGGAGUAUCCCAAUAUUGCUCAUUAUGAUACCAGCCUGGCCUUCUCACUGAUCAGCACUUUGGGACUUAGGGUGGGUAUCAGACAAGUUCACCCGGUGGAUGAUAUAUCUUUACAGCCCCUCCUGAUGGCAAAUGUAGAACUGAUUCUGAGCACUCUUGGGAGAAAUGCUUGGAAGCUAAAUGCAGUGCUGCUUGGAGCUAUUAUUCCACUGCAACACUGCUUCAUCCUCUGCUAUCUGCUCAGCCAUCCUCCAUCUGAUAUGGGUAAGGAUUUUAAGACCAAAUGCAGCUGCUUCAACAGGUGAUCACCGCAGUUCACAAACUAGAAUACUACUUGAACCUGGACCAGAGUUUAUUCUGCUGCUGUAAUGGGCUGGAAACAGCAGUGGCCCAAGUGACUUCACUGGUGAGCAUCCAGAUGUUUACCGUAAAGGUGGUGAUCUCCAGGAGGGGACUGGGAAAGAGUGGGUGACACUAUGCCUUCAACACUGGGACAACACUGCUGCUUCAGCCUCCCUAUGGAAAAGUACGAUUGUCUAAAAAAGUCAACUACUCAAUUGAACUCUACUCCCACUUAACAAUAAUACCUUAUUACACGUUACCAACUAUUUUUAUGCUUCUUUAUCUUGUUUACAAGGCCUUCGCUAGUUUCCCAAUUGGUUAAGAAAAUCAUAUUGCUUCAAUAGCCAAGGCAGCUACUUUCCAUCUAAGUCUGGUCCCGGUCCUAGGACACAGAUUUCAAGUUUAGACAUCUCUGUUGUUAUCCACACCUUGCUCACCUUGUUGUACUGCAGUGUGACCUUAAUGACAUUUCUUCUUUCAAACUUGGAAAAGUGAAAAUGGAUUUGAUUUUCAGUCAUAGCAUUUCCUUGACACUCCUUGACCUUAAUAAAUUGUCUGUUGGAUUCUAAAUGACA
rnacentral:lncRNA from 1 species